rnacentral:rRNA from 1 species
CCUACGGGAGGCAGCAGUGGGGAAUAUUGGACAAUGGGGGGAACCCUGAUCCAGCCAUGCCGCGUGUGUGAAGAAGGCCCUCGGGUUGUAAAGCACUUUCAGUGAGGAAGAACGCCUGGUGGUUAAUACCCAUCAGGAAAGACAUCACUCACAGAAGAAGCACCGGCUAACUCCGUGCCAGCAGCCGCGGUAAUACGGAGGGUGCGAGCGUUAAUCGGAAUUACUGGGCGUAAAGCGCGCGUAGGUGGCUUGAUAAGCCGGUUGUGAAAGCCCCGGGCUCAACCUGGGAACGGCAUCCGGAACUGCCAAGCUAGAGUGCAGGAGAGGAAGGUAGAAUUCCCGGUGUAGCGGUGAAAUGCGUAGAGAUCGGGAGGAAUACCAGUGGCGAAGGCGGCCUUCUGGACUGACACUGACACUGAGGUGCGAAAGCGUGGGUAGCAAACAGGAUUAGAUACCCCUGUAGUC